UAUAUGUCUUAUGUUUAUUUUAUUUGCAUUUUUUAUUUUAGUUGUUUACUUAAUUAUUAGUCUAAUAUUUAAUUUUUGUUUCAUUUUUAUUUUUAUUUUUACUUUUAUAAAAUUAUGCAAGCCAAUGAUCACAGCGUCUGUAAAAGGUCGGGGCAGAACCCCUUUCUUCACCAUUUUCACACCUUACAACCUUCCAAACCCAUUUUUUCACCUUGGAGAAACACCCUUGAACCCACAAAAAGCUCAUACUUUCCUAACCACCACACCGUACAAAUCAUUUUUCUGAUUUCCAUUUUCAUUUUCAUCCGUCGGAUUUCGUAAA
rnacentral:lncRNA from 1 species